UUGAAACAUCAGUUCCCUUACGAUCACUGAAGUGAAGCCUCAUUGUGUCUGGUCAUUACAUCGAUGGGUGACCGCUUGUGAAUACAAGGUGCUA